UGAAGGCAUUUCCAAAAGACAGACAACAACAUUUAUUUUGUUAACACUAGUAGACUUUGGGAAUAUUUUUCUCUGCAACUUGCCAACAAGAAAAAAACUCAUAAUUAUCCAGAAUGAAGCUAAUUGUCUAAAUAUUUCGGAAUGCCAUGGAAUUAGACCUCUGUGCGCGUCUUUGAUCCGAUGAGCAUAAAGACACAGAUAAUGUCGAUGCAACCCCCCGAGCACGACGACUGCGGCUCCUCUUGAUUAUAAAUGAACAUGACCGGUCAGGCUGUGCUGCUGUGGACCUGUUUAUGAAGGAAGAAGAGCGAGGAAGGGACAUCACGUCGCCUCGCAGGAAAGAUGCCGGUGUUCUGAUGGAAAUCACGCGCCGCAUUAGAGUACGAGUCUGGAAACCGCUCACACAUACAUGCAAACAGAAUUAGCACAUGCGUGGCCUGCUUUUUUCUGAGACAAUGAAUGAAAUGAAUGAUGCACUUCCUGAGCGAUAGCAUUGGUCUCUAAUUGAAAAAUGAAUUAGUUUAAUUCAUUAAAAUGAAUUACACACUCAGACACACACACACA